UCUGGGCCUCCCUUCUGAAGCUGCUACCCCGCGACCCGACCUCGGAUAAGCGGAGGAAGAUGGAUGGAUGGAUAUUAAUGCUUGUAAAGCUGCAACCAACCAGGAUAAAACGCGGGUCCUUUGGUCCGACUUCCUGCAUGUUCUAGAGCAGGGGUCAAACUCCAGGCCUCCAGUCGCUGACCUGCAGGUUUUAGAUGAGCCACAGGUGAAGCAGAGGCUCAUCUAAAGGUUGCAGGACUGGAGUUUGAGACCCUGAUCUAGAUCCUUCCUGAUACCAACAACCUUCUCAGCAGGUCAAAGUUCUCCUCUAAUGAUCAUCAUUGGGUCCAGGUGCAGGAUGCCGGGCCUCCAGAACCGACUUUGGGCUCCACUGAGAGAAAUCAGGACUUCUGAUCAGAGGAUUAUUUAUUGAUUAACUGAUCAAUAACUGGAUAUAAAUAUGCUCAAUGGCUUUUUACAGCCAUUGGUAAAAAGUGAAACUUUUUACCGUAACUAUAAAAUGUUUCUAUAUUUUGUACAGAUUUGGGUUCAUUUCUGUUCUUUUCCAGUCUGUGAUCCAGUUAACCAUCAAUCAAUCAAUUACUGAAUUAGUUGACAAUUAUUUCAAUAAUCAAUUCAUCUGAUUAAUCAUUUAAACACCUAAAUAUGUACCCAUGUGAAGAUGAAGGAAAUGGGAAAAUGUUUUUAACAGAAUAUAUUGUUUGAAAAAAUAAAGAUGAGAAAUUUGUAUUUGACAGAAUUUCAUAAAGAAAAGCAUCAAAUGAAACGUUUCCUGUGUUUUUAUUCCUCCAUCCACACAUAAAGGAAGCCGAGCCGUUUAAACUGAAAUAAAUAUUUAUUACUGUAAACUCUUUAUGCAGAAUCACAGCUGAACAGGAUCGACAUCAAGCUCAGGAACAACAAACACUGAAGUGCCAUUAAUGAGGUUUCUGUGAUUACAACGAGUCAUGUGACCACAGAACCAGCCAAUCACAGAGCGCCGUGAUCAUCUACAGAAAACUACAGACAGGAAAUAACUUCUUCUUCUACAGUAACAAACUGACAUCAGAUCAGCGGAUUCUAGAUUCGUUACAAAAACACAACGUCGCAGAGUGACAUCACAGUGACAUCAAAGAGUGACAUCAGAGUGACAUCAAAGAGUGACAUCACAGAGUGACAUCAGAGUGACAUCAAAGAGUGACAUCAGAGUGACAUCACAGUGACAUCAUAGAGUGACAUCACAGUGACAUCAAAGAGUGACAUCAGAGUGACAUCAAAGAGUGACAUCAGAGUGACAUCACAGUGACAUCAUAGAGUGACAUCACAGAGUGACAUCACAGAGUGACAUCACAGAGUGACAUCGCAGUGACAUCACGGUGACAUCACAGUGACAUCAAAGAGUGACAUCGCAGUGACAUCAUAGAGUGACAUCACAGAGUGACAUCACAGAGUGACAUCGCAGUGACAUCAUAGAGUGACAUCACAGAGUGACAUCGCAGUGACAUCAUAGAGUGACAUCACAGAGUGACAUCACAGAGUGACAUCGCAGUGACAUCACGGUGACAUCACAGUGACAUCAAAGAGUGACAUCGCAGUGACAUCAUAGAGUGACAUCACAGAGUGACAUCACAGUGACAUCAC